rnacentral:rRNA from 1 species
GUACACUCCUACGGGAGGCAGCAGUGGGGAAUAUUGGACAAUGGGCGCAAGCCUGAUCCAGCCAUGCCGCGUGAGUGAUGAAGGCCCUAGGGUUGUAAAGCUCUUUCACCGGAGAAGAUAAUGACGGUAUCCGGAGAAGAAGCCCCGGCUAACUUCGUGCCAGCAGCCGCGGUAAUACGAAGGGGGCUAGCGUUGUUCGGAAUUACUGGGCGUAAAGCGCACGUAGGCGGAUCGAUCAGUCAGGGGUGAAAUCCCAGGGCUCAACCCUGGAACUGCCGUUGAUACUGUCGAUCUGGAGUAUGGAAGAGGUGAGUGGAAUUCCGAGUGUAGAGGUGAAAUUCGUAGAUAUUCGGAGGAACACCAGUGGCGAAGGCGGCUCACUGGUCCAUUACUGACGCUGAGGUGCGAAAGCGUGGGGAGCAAACAGGAUUAGAAACCCCGGUAGUCCCAU